rnacentral:rRNA from 1 species
UACGUAGGGCGCAAGCGUUGUCCGGAAUUACUGGGCGUAAAGAGCUCGUAGGUGGUUUGUCGCGUUGUCCGUGAAAACUCACAACUCAAUUGUGGGCGUGCGGGCGAUACGGGCAGACUGGAGUACUGCAGGGGAGACUGGAAUUCCUGGUGUAGCGGUGGAAUGCGCAGAUAUCAGGAGGAACACCGGUGGCGAAGGCGGGUCUCCGUGGGCAGUGAACUGACGCUGGAGGAGCGAAAGCGUGGGGAGCGAACAGG